UACGUAGGGUGCAAGCGUUGUCCGGAAUUAUUGGGCGUAAAGGGCUCGUAGGCGGUCCAUCACGUCGGGAGUGAAAAGCUGGGGCUUAACCCCAGUCCUGCUUCCGAUACGGGUGGACUAGAGGUAGGCAGGGGAGAACGGAAUUCCUGGUGUAGCGGUGAAAUGCGCAGAUAUCAGGAGGAACACCGGUGGCGAAGGCGGUUCUCUGGGCAGUAACUGACGCUGAGGAGCGAAAGCGUGGGGAGCGAACAGG
rnacentral:rRNA from 1 species